UCGGGCCGCGCAAUAUUGGUCCGGGGCGAUAAUACGAAGCCACUCUUUUCACAGGGCAAUAAUGUACGACCCCAUAAUUCGCGUCCAAUAAUUUGAGUCCCUUUUCAAUUAUUGGGCUGCGCAUUAUUGGUACAGGUCGAGAAAGCCCGACCCAAUAAUGUACGACCCAAUAAUAGGAAGCCAAAAACCAGAGAGAUUCUUUUUUUUAAGGGAGCUGUCAAAAUUAGUAGGGACGUUCUGACAUUAGCUCUUGACAAUUUAAAAAUAAUCGGUUUUUUCUAGUGCCAUCUUUCAGUGACAUUGACAGUAUUGUAUUGACACUUGUUGGUUUACAAAUACAAUAAAAUGAAUUCUAAUAAAAGAAACAGUAGACUCAGUAGAGGUACGAGGUACUGAAAAAAUAUUAAUUAAUGGAGAAGCCGAAGUUGGAGGAAAACAAGAAGAUUCGAGGAGAAUGGUGUGGCACUUAAUGCCGCCGGGACAGUAACCUAGCUGCAGCUCCAACUCUAGGGAAUUGGGCUGAAUGAACGCAACACGUGAUCGACAGCCCACCUGCUUCCUGCCGAGCGUCCCUACACUACAUCUACAUGGAUUCGCUUAUUCUGCUCUACAAAACUUCU